UGCAUCUUACACGGCAGGAAGGAGAGCGCUUGAACGUGGAUGAUGGUGUGCCUUGGAUCAACGUAGCUAGUGGAAGCAAGCAAGUUUAAAAAAUGGAAGAACGAGGUUUGCGGACAUGGUGAAAAGCUCGCUCUCGGUGGUGUAGUAACUUUUGGGCGCAACAAGGACAUCGAUGUUGUUUGUGUUGGAAAUGUGAGGGCCCGGGAGAUGUCUUCCAUCCGUCCACAGUGCGAUUCAUGCACCAGCAGUGUGCAUCAACACACUCACACACCAAA